rnacentral:rRNA from 1 species
UACGGAGGGGGCAAGCGUUGUUCGGAAUCACUGGGCGUAAAGGGCGCGCAGGCGGCUGCUCAAGUCAGGCGUGAAAGGCCUGGGCUCAACCCGGGAAUUGCGCUUGAGACUGGGCUGGCUUGAGUGCGGGAGAGGAUGGUGGAAUUCCCAGUGUAGAGGUGAAAUUCGUAGAUAUUGGGAAGAACACCGGUGGCGAAGGCGGCCAUCUGGACCGCAACUGACGCUGAGGCGCGAAAGCGUGGGGAGCGAACAGG